UACGGAGGGUGCAAGCGUUAUCCGGAUUCACUGGGUUUAAAGGGUGCGUAGGCGGGUUUGUAAGUCCGUGGUGAAAUCUCUGGGCUUAACCCGGAAACUGCCAUGGAUACUAUGUGUCUUGAAUGUUGUGGAGGUGAGCGGAAUAUGUCAUGUAGCGGUGAAAUGCUUAGAUAUGACAUAGAACACCAAUUGCGAAGGCAGCUCACUACGCAAAUAUUGACGCUGAGGCACGAAAGCGUGGGGAGCAAACAGG
rnacentral:rRNA from 1 species